rnacentral:rRNA from 1 species
AACGUAGGACGCAAGCGUUAUCCGGAGUUACUGGGCGUAAAGGGCAGGCAGGCGGGUCGAUAAGUCGGAUGUGAAAUCUCCCUGGCUUAACCGGGAGAGUGCAUUUGAGACUGUCAACCUGGAGGGCAGCAGAGGAGCGUGGAAUUCCGGGUGGAGUGGCGAAAUGCGUAGAGAUCCGGAGGAACACCAGAGGCGAAAGCGGCGCUCUGGGCUGCACCUGACGCUGAACUGCGAAAGCCAGGGGAGCGAACGGG